GCUUGUAGCUCAGCUGGUUAGAGCGCACGCCUGAUAAGCGUGAGGUCGAUGGUUCAAGUCCAUUC
rnacentral:tRNA from 1 species